UCCACGAAAGGCAGGCAAUACCAACUUCAAAACUUUGGUGAACUGGUACUUGAACCAGCAACCCUCCAGCUUUCAAGCCAACUCCUCACAGACUGAGCAACAGAUGUCCCCACUGAGGAGAUUCCUGCAAACUCAUCUAUAGAGCCACGUUAAACUCGGUCACCAGAAAGUCCACGUGAUCCUUUUCUUUGGUCUUGAAGGCCUCGGCAAUGAUGCGUGCAGCGUCCCUGUGCUCACGGCCCCUCAUGGAAACCCCGUUUACCUCCAGGAUCACCUGACCCACCUUCAGCUGGCCGCAGUUGUGAGCUGAGCCACCUCUCUGAGGAAGAGAGGCAGAGAGAGAUGGAGACAAAUGAAAAAGAGGACUGGAGUACACUGUUUGUGGUUUGUUGUGACAGUCGGAAAUGUCCGAAGUAUGUUAGGGUUGGAGGAAAACUUGCAGGGUUGAUCAAAAAGUACAGAUUCUAAGAAAAAUCUCAACGUUUGAAAACUUGAUUUAAUUAAAAUCAAACCUGAACUCUUUUACACAA